CGGCACAUUUGAUUUAUUUGGUUUUAUCCCUGCGGAGAGGAACAAUCACCAGGUCAUGUUUAACAGGAAGUUGUAUGAGCAGGAGCUCAGCUCAACCUCUCAGUACCACAGGAAUGUGGAGUAUACUUACAUGCUUUUUUCAUUACCAUAUUAUACUACGUUCCAUGUAGUCUGGGAAAACUAUAGAUUGGGGAGACGGGUGAAUUAGCAUCAGACAACAUCCCUUAGGAAUCUUUACCACAGAUACUUGAGAAAUAGACUGCUUUGUUGAUCACACUAAAUGUUCUCUAAAUUGCAUUAUGUCGAAGGUCAAAAUGUAAAAUGGAAAUUAGGAGUUACCCUUGCUUUGAAUAAUAAGUUAUAGUUUCUUUCUGGAUACCCAUGAAAACCAUUGAAAGGUGACAAAUCAGGUUAAAAACACAUGUCCUCGCAUCGUGAGCCUGUUUGCAAAAUCAGAAAUAGUAUCAGACAUAUUGAUUCAAAUAAUACAAUAAAAAAACAUUCAUUACAAUCGGUGAGAAUAACACCCCCCCCCCAAAAAAAACAAAAAAAAACGUAGAUCUGUAAUUACAGAGGUGAGGGACAAGAGAUCUUAAUGUGUUGAUGAACAUUUGAGCGCUUUUACAUGCCUGGAGGAAUUCCAUUAACUAUCAUGAUUAAAGCAAUCAUCAGACUCAUUGGUGCCUGUCAGAUCUCAUCUCUGCCUUCUCAAUUACCCAAAUCUCCUUGAACUCAAUUGCUCACAUCAUCAUGACGCUGUGGCAGAGCGUCCUCCUCGCAUGUCCUCUCGGCCCUGCACUGCAGCACAACAGGUUUACAGCAGAGAUGUUCCCUCCUUUGGCCCCUCCAAAUGAGCUAAGUGAACGAAUCCAGGGAGGCAAAGUAAACCAUUGUGCCGUUCCACAUGGAGUCCCACAGAGGACCCCUAUUGGCUUAUUAAAAGCAUUAUUUGUCAGGUUAGAGGCUCUCACGUCAACCUCCUGCAGUGAGACAUGGCUAAUUCAUUCAUCCAUUAGCCAGG
ensembl:lncRNA